UACGUAGGCAGCGAGCGUUGUUCGGAGUUACUGGGCGUAAAGGGUGUGUAGGCGGUUCUCUAAGUUUGGUGUGAAAUCUCCCGGCUCAACCGGGAGGGUGCGCCGAAAACUGGAGGGCUAGAGUGCGGGAAGGGAGAGUAGAAUUCCUGGUGUAGCGGUGAAAUGCGUAGAUAUCAGGAGGAAUACCGGUGGUGUAGACGGCUCUCUGGACCGCGACUGACGCUGAGACACGAAAGCGUGGGUAGCAAACAGG
rnacentral:rRNA from 1 species